rnacentral:rRNA from 1 species
GUCUAUGGUCAUACUAGCCUGAACAAGCCCGAUCCUGUCUGAUCUUGGAAGCUAAGCAGGGUCGGGCCUGGUUAGUACUUGGAUGGGAGACCACCUAGGAAGACCAGGUGCUGUAGGUG